rnacentral:rRNA from 1 species
CCAAUAGCGUAUAUUAAAGUUGCUGCAGUUAAAAAGCUCGUAGUUGAAUUUCGGGACCAUCAUGUCGGUCGUGCCUCGGUACGUACUGGCAUCGUUGGUUUCUCCCUUCUGACGAACCAUGAUGUCAUUUAUUUGGUGUUGUGGGGAAUCAGGACUGUUACUUUGAAAAAAUUAGAGUGUUUAAAGCAGGCUCACGCUUGAAUACAUUAGCAUGGAAUAAUGAAAUAGGACGUUUGAUUCUAUUUUGUUGGUUUCUAGGAUCGACGUAAUGAUUAAUAGGGAUAGUUGGGGGCAUUAGUAUUCAAUUGUCAGAGGUGAAAUUCUUGGAUUUAUUGAAGACUAACUACUGCGAAAGCAUUUGCCAAGGAUGUUUUCAUUAAUCAAGAACGAAAGUUAGGGGAUCGAAGACGAUCAGAUACCGUCGUAGUCUUAACCAUAAACUAUGCCGACUAGGGAUCGGAUGAUGUUAAUUUUUUAAUGACUCAUUCGGCGCCUUACG